GCUGUACUUGUUGUAUUGAAUAUCCAUACAGUAUUUCUUCAUGACAAGAUUGUAUAUUGGAAAAAGUUCUGAUCAUAUUGCAUAUUAUCCAAUAUUAUCACCAGUGUCCUGAUACAUUAUGUGAUUUCACUUAUUAGCAUAUCAUCCAAGGUGCUGUAUGUUUUACUUGGUCGAAAGUAGUAGUUACUAACAUAGGGAUUGGUAAAAAAUAUUUACCUCUUGUUGAAUGUUAUGAAAUGUUAUGUGAAGCUAUCGUUGACGUAACCAAGUUUGAAAUGUUGCAAUUGAAUUGUAGGCAUGUCUAAAAACAGAAAGAGUAAAUACAUUAGACUAACAUAAAAACACAUAGAAAAAAGAGAAUGGGAAAAAGAAGGGAAGAGAAGGGAAGAAAAGAAGAAAAGAAUGCUUACCUGUUAGAAAAAGUCAUGCAUUUCUAGUUUAAAAUUAGGAUAUACAUAAUAUAUAUAGUUUUGUUAGUUCAGUAUGAAUUUUAUCCUCAAUCAAAUUUGUAUAUAAAUGAUCAAAUAAUGUUGCAUUAUCUGUAGUAAAACUUGAUAUCAUUUGUCUGUAGUUAUUUUCUAAGACCAUGAGGUUAUACAGUGACUGUCGCUCAGAUUCCACCAUCCAAUUUACAUUAAAGUCUCCAAUAACAAUACUUUGAGCAGACACAUUUUCUUCAUGAAUGGUACGAAG